rfam:Pteropus alecto contig51815, whole genome shotgun sequence.
GCCUAUGGCCAUGCAACCCUGAACAAGCCCAAAGUCUGAUCUCGGAAGCUAAGCAGGGUCGGGCCUGGUUAGCACUUGGAUGGGAGACCACCUAGGAAAACCAGGUGCUGAAGGCA